GGACAUAGAACAUUUCUGUCAAGGUCAUUUUGACUAUAUGAGCUCGAGGAGAUUUGCCUUUAGACUGCUCAAUGAACCACUGGACAAAUUGAAACCAGUUCUGUCCAGUAGGUUGCUUAGCUCCAACCCAUUGUAGUGUAUGAUAUCUCAGCUGGGAUGCAAAGGUGCAGCCCAGAAAUAAGUGUUCUCUGGUUUCCAUAUUUUGUUGGCACAUAAUACAAGUGUCUGCCACAUUCAGGCUCCAUUUAAUCAACCUAUCCUUGGUAGGUAAUCU
rnacentral:lncRNA from 1 species